UUCCCUUAACUUGCUGCAUUCUAGUUAACCUAUCAUUUACAUAAAUGGUAUAUUACUAAUUGAAGAAUCUGGCCUUUGUGACAUCAUUGUCUUCUUGAAAACAUUUUACUGGACAUCUGUGUACAGCUGGUAUAAAUAUAUAAAGUCUGUAGAGGCACUGAGAUACAAAUUUCAGUACACAGGACUUACUGGUUACUGGCUCAGUUCCUCUGUCUGAAGCAGCAAUUUUAUCAUAAAAAUAAUAACACUUAAGUGUUAAAAAAUUGGGAAUUUAGUUGGAACCCCAAUCACUGAGUCAGCAAUUAAGAAAAAAAAAUCAUAUAGAACAAAACUCAACACCAAUUCUCCUGCAGUUUUUAAGCUGAAUACUGUUCCAUCAAGUUGUAAUCACAUACCAGCUGUUUCCCUUGCUGUAGUACAGAAAGCAAAUGUACAAUGCAGGGUGCCAUCUACUGAAACAUGAAUGCACAGACUAACUAGUAAAGAACAAGCAAGUAUAAAAGAGAAAAAAGUAACAAAUAUUAGAAUGGAUGGACUUUACAGCUCCACAGGAAUUCUACUUGCAAUAAAUGGAACUGUUAAAUUUGUUUCAUUUAGUAGCAACUAUAACCGAAGACUAUGCUAUAAAAUAAAGACAAUGUAGAAUAUAA